GGGGAUUUGGCUCAGUGGUAGAGCACUUGCCCAGCAAGCACAAGGCCCUGGGUUCGGUCCCCAGCUCCG
rnacentral:tRNA from 1 species